rnacentral:rRNA from 1 species
UACGGAGGGUGCAAGCGUUGUCCGGAUUUAUUGGGUUUAAAGGGUGCGUAGGCGGUCCAUUAAGUCUGGGGUGAAAGCCCGUUGCUCAACAACGGAACUGCCCUGGAAACUGGCGGACUUGAGUACAGACGAGGGUGGCGGAAUGGAUGCUGUAGCGGUGAAAUGCAUAGAUAGCAUCCAGAACCCCGAUUGCGAAGGCAGCUGCCUAGACUGUAACUGACGCUGAGGCACGAAAGCGUGGGGAGCGAACAGG